ACAUGUAAACCUAAUGCUUGCUAGAAUGGUCCAAGCUUUCAAGUGGGUGCCCACACCCACUGGUCCACCUGACCCCACAGAGACCUUUGCCUUCACUGUGGUUAUGAAAAAUCCUCUCAAAGCGGUCAUAUUGUCUAGGUAAAAGAAAUAAAUAAACAGGUUACAUAUGGGUUCCAUUUGUAAUUUUAUGUAGUGGCUUUUAAUUUUACUGGAAGUUGAAGAUUUUUAUAUCCAAUAAAAAUGGACUGCUUUAAUUAGUAAAAGAA
rnacentral:misc_RNA from 1 species